UAGGGAAUCUUCCACAAUUGGCGCAAGCCUGAUGGAGCAACACCGCGUGAGUGAAGAAGGGUUUCGGCUCGUAAAGCUCUGUUGUUAAAGAAGAACACGUAUGAGAGUAACUGUUCAUACGUUGACGGUAUUUAACCAGAAAGUCACGGCUAACUACGUACCAG
rnacentral:rRNA from 1 species